AGUACGUGAAACUGCUUAGAGGUUAAGCCCGAUGAACCUGAAUAUCCAUUAUUGAAAAUUCAAUAUUAAUUAAAUAAUAUAUAAAUCAUAUUAUUGAAAUAGUAUGCAAUUUUUCAAUAUAAGGACAUUGUAAUUUGUUAAUGUUAUAAAUAUUUAUCAAAAGAUCUUUUACUUAAGUUUAUUUAAAUUGUUUAUUUUCGGAUAUUCAACAUAAAAUAAAUGUAUUAGAUUAGAUAAAUCAUUGACAGAUAUAAUUAUAUAUUGUGCUUAAAUUUUUCGGAAUUUUACAAUAAUAAAUGGAUCUAUUGAUUUGUUUAUUUAUUGUAUGCACUUUUAUGAUUAACAAUGCGAUAGAUUCAGGAUACCUUCGGGACCCGUCUUGAAACACGGACCAAGGAGUCUAACAUAUGUGCAAGUCAUUGGGUAUUUUUAAUAAAACCCAAUGGCAUAAUUAACUUAACUGUUAUUUAUAAUGGGAUUAAUUUAUAUUUUGUUAUGAUUUAUUUAUUCAAUCCCGGGGCGUUCUAUACAGUUAUGCAUAAUAGUAUUUAUAUUAUUUAUGCCUCUAACUAGAGCGUACCUUGAGC
rnacentral:rRNA from 1 species